rnacentral:rRNA from 1 species
UACAGAGGGUGCGAGCGUUGUUCGGAAUUAUUGGGCGUAAAGGGCGCGUAGGCGGUGCGGUAAGUCACCUGUGAAAUCUCCUGGCUCAACUGGGAGCUUGCAGGCGAAACUGCCGUGCUGGAGUGUGGGAGAGGUGCGUGGAAUUCCUGGUGAGCGGUGAAAUGCGUAGAUAUCAGGAGGAACACCUGUGGCGAAAGCGGCGCACUGGACCACAACUGACGCUGAGGCGCGAAAGCUAGGGGAGCAAACAGG